rnacentral:rRNA from 1 species
GGGUUUGAUUAUGGCUCAGGAUGAACGCUGGCGGCGUGCUUAACACAUGCAAGUCGAACGAACCUUCGGGUUAGUGGCGGACGGGUGAGUAACGCGUGAGAAUCUGCCCUCAGGAGGGGGAUAACGGUUGGAAACGACCGCUAAUACCCCAUAUGCCGCGAGGUGAAAUGAAUUUCGCCUGAGGAUGAGCUCGCGUCUGAUUAGUUAGUUGGUGGGGUAAAGGCCUACCAAGACAUCGAUCAGUAGCUGGUCUGAGAGGAUGAUCAGCCACACUGGGACUGAGACACGGCCCAGACUCCUACGGGAGGCAGCAGUGGGGAAUUUUCCGCAAUGGGCGAAAGCCUGACGGAGCAACGCCGCGUGAGGGAUGAAGGCCUCUGGGCUGUAAACCUCUUUUAUCAAGGAAGAAGAUCUGACGGUACUUGAUGAAU